GCGGUCGUCGUCUAGCUGGUUUAGGACACAAAAACGCAGUCCCAUCAGACUGUGAUUGUGGAAGCCUUCCAAGCUUGCGAUCCCGGGUUCAAAUCCCGGCGACCGCACCA
rnacentral:tRNA from 1 species